rnacentral:misc_RNA from 1 species
GAAAUGCGAUAAGUAAUGUGAAUUGCAGAAUUCAGUGAAUCAUCGAAUCUUUGAACGCACAUUGCGCCCGCCAGUAUUCUGGCGGGCAUGCCUGUUCGAGCGUCAUUACAACCCUCAGGCCCCCGGGCCUGGCGUUGGGGAUCGGCGGAAGCCCCCUGCGGGCACAACGCCGUCCCCCAAAUACAGUGGCGGUCCCUCCGCAGCUUCCAUUGCGUAGUAGCUAACACCUCGCAACUGGAGAGCGGCGCGGCCACGCCGUAAAACACCCAACUUCUGAAUGUUGACCUCGAAUCAGGUAGGAAUACCCGCUGAACUUAAGC